rnacentral:rRNA from 1 species
UCAGCUCGUGUCGUGAGAUGUUGGGUUAAGUCCCGCAACGAGCGCAACCCCUAUUGUUAGUUGCCAUCAUUCAGUUGGGCACUCUAGCGAGACUGCCGGUAAUAAACCGGAGGAAGUGGGGAAUGACGUCAAAUCAUCAUGCCCCUUAUGACCUGGGCUACGACACGUGCUACAAUGGUUGGUACAACGAGUUGCGAGUCGGUGACGGCGAGCUAAUCUCUUAAAGCCAAUCUCAGUUCGGAUUGUAGGCUGCAACUCGCCUACAUGAAGUCGGAAUCGCUAGUAAUCGCGGAUCAGCACGCCGCGGUGAAUACGUUCCCGGGCCUU